UACGGAGGAUGCGAGCGUUAUCCGGAUUUAUUGGGUUUAAAGGGUGCGCAGGCGGGAUUUUAAGUCAGCGGUGAAAUUUUCAGGCUCAACCUGAACACUGCCGUUGAAACUGGGAUUCUUGAGUAUGGAUGAAGUAGGCGGAAUUCGUUGUGUAGCGGUGACAUGCUUAGAUAUAACGAGGAACCCCGAUUGCGUAGGCAGCUUACUAAGCCACAACUGACGCUCAAGCACGAAAGACGUGGGGAGUCAAACAAGGAUUAGAUACCCCGUACGU
rnacentral:rRNA from 1 species